GCUCCUAGAGCGGCCGCCCCAGGGGCGGGAGGAAAACGCGUUUCCGGCGGGUGUCGGGCUCGGGAAUCGGCGGGUUGGCUCCGGGGUGCGGCGCUCAGGGCUACCCCUUGGCCAGGGCCUUCCCGCGGAGGACAGGAGCUCCAGAAAGAGAGGGGGACUGUGAGUGGGGAGGAGAAGCCGGCGGCGCAGACCGCGGUCCCCGGGGCGGUGCGGGGGCGCCUGUGAACUUAGCCGCCCCGGAGGCUCGUGCCGUGAGGCGCGAGGCUGGCGGCCGUUUCUCCUGGAAGGGCCAGCAGCCCGGCCCUCGCCGUCCCCUCUCUGAGGCCUCCGUCCUUCCAGAGCCCCGGAUUGGGAAUCUGAGCAAAGAGAUGGUAGACCUGGGGUUUGAAUCCCGGCUAUCUUCACUCCAGAAUGUGAGCCUCAGACUCACUCUCUAAAAGGGAAAAUGCUUAACUAGAGAUUGGAGCCAUCGGACAAAAAUUAAAAUCACUCAGGAGGAGCAGACAGACAUUGGGUGCCUCUUGCUGUCACACUGAGAAGGACACGACCACACGUACGCAGACGUCCAGCCAGGAAGGCCUAACCUCUAUAUGCUAAUGAAGACACAGCCGACAGAGCUCAAGGGAGGAACAUUCUAGUAAAGGGAAAGUCUGUGCUUUUCCACCAGGUCACUGUCAUAAAAGACAAAGGCUGACCACUCCAGAUCAGAGGAGACUAAAGAGAAACGACAGUGUACUGCAAUACAUCAUGGCUAGCCUGGAUUUUGGACUACAGGGGCAGAUACUCCGUAAAGGAUAUCAUUGAGACAAUUGGCAAAAUGGAUGGUAAAUUCGAUACCAGAGUGCACCGAUGUUACAUCUAGUGAAGUGGAGAACUGUACCGCACUGGGGGAGGAAAUAUUAAGUAUUUCAGGGUAAAGGAACAGGAUGUAUGCAACUUAUUCUCAAAUAAUUUGGAAUAAAAGUCACAUGGAGAGAGAGAGAGAGGAAGUA
rnacentral:lncRNA from 1 species